rnacentral:lncRNA from 1 species
UGGAAUGUGUCUGCUGACUGUGAGGUACAUGGUCAAAGUUUACUCAAUGAUGAGUCCGCAGCGAACCGUUCGCGAACCGUUUGGCGAACCGGUCGGGACAUCACUAGUGACAAUUAACAAAGGGGAGUGCAAAUUUUAGGCUCCAAUAGUCAAGUGGACUAUAGAUCCUCAUACAUUACCGUUAUUGGGCAUUUCCUAAUGAAAAAUUGAAGGGUACAGCUGGAAUUUGCUUCCUCCAUUUUUCCUAAAAUUGAUCGGAACUGUUUAAGGUUCUGUGGAUUUUUUUAAAAUGUAUAUUUGAUAAAUUAAAAAAAAUGUAAAACAAAACAAAAUUCACAAGUUUUAAUAUUUAAAGAUCCAAAGAAAUAGUCCACUGUUAAGGCGGUCCACUGCAGGAAAUGUGUUGAGAAACUGUAUUUCAACAGACAAUUCUGUAUACGACAAAGAGACACAUUUUAAUUGAUUUGAUAAAAGUUUCACUUUGACGUCUUUCAUAGGUGCUAAGUUCUUCCUUUAGGAGCUAUUAAAAUUUCUGAGCACAUGUUUGUAUGUAAAUAUACAGUAUCUACUUUUAUAAUGCUUUAUAUAUAUAUAUCAUGUGGUUCAUUAACAAGAACCUACAAAAAUAUGUAAAUCAGGGACUUUUUAUGGUGCUACUGUAACUCCUGCCAAGCAUAUUGCUUGAAAUAAUGUUGCAAAUAAGUCCGUGCCUUGUUGUGCUAUUGCGUUUUUUCGCAUCCUGUUAAAAAAGAAAAAAAAAUCUUGUCUGUUAAGCCAUUUUAAUAGUUGUGUUUUGACAAUUAUUAUUUUAAUGUUAAGUCCCACAUUGUAAACCUUGCAGUGCCAAAAGGAGGAACUAUGUUUCAAAUCAGGAUUAAUUUCAUUUUUCCAUGUCACUAAGUGUCCCUUUUAUUAGUGAAAAUUAACAAUUCUUCAAUAAAGAACCUUUGAUUUAAAUGAAAAAUAUGUAAAACACAAAUUUGACUGACUACUUUUAAUAUUUUGGCCUAGAGUUGUCACUUUUUUUUGUACAAAAGAUAUCUCCUAUUUGGCAACUCUGUCUGGAGCCUUCAAAACAUUACAGAGAUGUGAAGAAAUAGUGUUGGGGAAGGCAAUCUUUGGAAUUCUAGAUGUUGUGGACUAUAUCUACCAUAAUGCUCUUACAGUCAUAAUGCUGGCAAAGCAUCAGGAGGACUCUAGCUCACAACAUAUGGAAUGCCAAAGGUUGCCUACCCCUUAAAAUUGUGGAUGAACAUGCUUGGACCUCCUAGCUGCAGGUGGCAGCACUGAUUUAUAAACUGUAUUUAUAUAUUCUGGUACAGGAUCUAAUUUCCAGUCAUCCUGAACUAAAAAUUUUUGGGAAAAGGGACAAUAACUUAUUUUAAAGAUCUUAACAUUUAUGGUUACUGAGAGUUCUGUAAAUAAAUAAAUAGAUAAGCAAUAAGCUAAAAAUGUGACUUCCUCGGGCAAAACUGAGACACAUUACUCUGUGCAUACUACUUCCCAAGUGCCCCUAUUUAGGAGGGACAGUCCGUAUUUUGCGUCCAAAUUUUUCUGUCCCUCUUUUCUAUUCUAACGUGUCUCUUUUCUAGGAGCUCCAUAUUGCUAUAGAGU